UACGUAGGGCGCAAGCGUUGUCCGGAAUUAUUGGGCGUAAAGAGCUCGUAGGCGGCUAAUCGCGUCUGCCGUGAAAACCCGCAGCUCAACUGCGGGCUUGCGGUUGAUACGGGUGGGCUGGAGUUCGGUAGGGGAGACUGGAAUUCCUGGUGUAGCGGUGAAAUGCGCAGAUAUCAGGAGGAACACCGGUGGCGAAGACGGGUCUCUGGGCCGAUACUGACGCUGAGGAGCGAAAGCGUGGGGAGCGAACAGG
rnacentral:rRNA from 1 species